GGAGAGAUGGCCGAGUGGUUUAAGGCGCACGCUUGGAAAGCGUGUGAAUGCCAAAAGUGUUUCAUGGGUUCGAAUCCCAUUCUCUCCGCAA
rnacentral:tRNA from 1 species